rnacentral:rRNA from 1 species
AACGAACGCUGGCGGCAGGCUUAACACAUGCAAGUCGAGCGCCCCGCAAGGGGAGCGGCAGACGGGUGAGUAACGCGUGGGAACGUACCUUUUGGUUCGGAACAACUCCGGGAAACUGGAGCUAAUACCGGAUAAGCCCUAACGGGGAAAGAUUUAUCGCCGAAAGAUCGGCCCGCGUCUGAUUAGCUAGUUGGUGAGGUAACGGCUCACCAAGGCGACGAUCAGUAGCUGGUCUGAGAGGAGGAUCAGCCACACUGGGACUGAGACACGGCCCAGACUCCUACGGGAGGCAGCAGUGGGGAAUAUUGGACAAUGGGCGCAAGCCUGAUCCAGCCAUGCCGCGUGAGUGAUGAAGGCCUUAGGGUUGUAAAGCUCUUUUGUCCGGGAAGAUAAUGACUGUACCGGAAGAAUAAGCCCCGGCUAACUUCGUG